rnacentral:rRNA from 1 species
UAGGGAAUUUUCGUCAAUGGGCGCAAGCCUGAACGAGCGAUGCCGCGUGAGUGAAGAAGGCCUUCGGUCGUAAAGCUCUGUUGCGGGGGAAAAAAGGGCAGCAUCAGGAAAAUGGGUGCUGACUGAUGGUGCCCCGCCAGAAAGUCACGGCUAACUACGUGCC